rnacentral:rRNA from 1 species
GACGAACGCUGGCGGCGUGCUUAACACAUGCAAGUCGAACGGAAAGGCCCUGCUUUUGUGGGGUGCUCGAGUGGCGAACGGGUGAGUAACACGUGAGUAACCUGCCCUUGACUUUGGGAUAACUUCAGGAAACUGGGGCUAAUACCGGAUAGGAGCUCCUGCUGCAUGGUGGGGGUUGGAAAGUUUCGGCGGUUGGGGAUGGACUCGCGGCUUAUCAGCUUGUUGGUGGGGUAGUGGCUUACCAAGGCUUUGACGGAUAGCCGGCCUGAGAGGGUGACCGGCCACAUUGGGACUGAGAUACGGCCCAGACUCCUACGGGAGGCAGCAGUGGGGAAUAUUGCACAAUGGGCGGAAGCCUGAUGCAGCAACGCCGCGUGCGGGAUGACGGCCUUCGGGUUGUAAACCGCUUUCGCCUGUGACGAAUCGUGAGUGACGGUAAUGGGUAAAGAACCACCUGCUAACUACUUGCCAGCAGCCGCGGGGAUACUUAUGGUGCGAGCGUUGUCCUGAUUUAUUGGGCGUAAAUGGCUCGUAGGUGGUUUAUCUCCUCCGCACUGUAAUCUUGGGGCUUAUCCCUGAGCGUGCUUUCGAUACGGGUUGACUUGAGGAAGGUAGGGGAGAAUGGAAUUCCUGGUGGAGCGGUGGAAUGCGCAGAUAUCAGGAGGAACACCAGUGGCGAAGGCGGUUCUCUGGGCCUUUCCUGACGCUGAGGAGCGAAAGCGUGGGGAGCGAACAGGCUUAGAUACCCUGGUAGUCCACGCUGUAAACGGUGGGUACUAGGUGUGGGGUCCAUUCCACGGGUUCCGUGCCGUAGCUAACGCUUUAAGUACCCCGCCUGGGGAGUACGGCCGCAAGGCUAAAACUCAAAGGAAUUGACGGGGCCCCGCACAAGCGGCGGAGCAUGCGGAUUAAUUCGAUGCAACGCGUAGAACCUUACCUGGGUUUGACAUGGAUCGGGAGUGCUUCCAGAUGGGUGUGCCUCUGUUGGGGUCGGUUCACAGGUGGUGCAUGGCUGUCCUCAGCUCGUGUCGUGAGAUGUUUGGGUUUAAGUCCCGCUUCGAGCGCAUCCCCUUGUUCUACUGUUGCCAACACGUUUAGGUGGGGACUCUAUGGAGACCGCCGGGGUCAACUCAUACGAAGGUGGGGAAGACGUCAAGUUAUCAUGCCCCUUAUGUCCUGGGCUUCACGCCAUGCUCCUUUGGUUAGUUCAUAUUAUUGUCAAUCCCUGUGAUGGUGAACGAAUUCUCUGUAAAUCCUGGUCUCUUUUCCGAAUUGGUGCCUGCUACUCUAACCUCUUUAUUCGGAAUCCUUUUAUUAACCUCAAAUCUCAAACUCUUCCGUGUAAUACUUUUCCGGGGUU